AUUACUUUGGCAGAAAAGUGUAUUGAAUUUAGAAUUCAAAUAUGUAAUUUAUAUUACAAGUAAUA
rnacentral:tRNA from 1 species